GAAAUGCGAUAAGUAAUGUGAAUUGCAGAAUUCCGUGAAUCAUCGAAUCUUUGAACGCACAUUGCGCCCUCUGGCAUUCCGGGGGGCAUGCCUGUCCGAGCGUCAUUACGCACCCUCAAGCCCGGCUUGUGUGAUGGGCCCCGGCGUCUCGUUCGCGAGACGGGCCCGAAAGGCAGCGGCGGCGUCGACCCGAUGAGCCCGAGCGUAUGGGGACUUCUGUCACACGUUCGCGGUGCGGACCGGCGCCUGCUUGACUUUUCUGAUUAUCCAGGUUGACCUCGGAUCAGGUAGUGAUACCCGCUGAACUUAAGC
rnacentral:misc_RNA from 1 species